rnacentral:rRNA from 1 species
UACGUAGGGUCCGAGCGUUGUCCGGAAUUACUGGGCGUAAAGAGCUCGUAGGUGGUUUGUCGCGUUGUUCGUGAAAACUCACAGCUCAACUGUGGGCGUGCGGGCGAUACGGGCAGACUGGAGUACUGCAGGGGAGACUGGAAUUCCUGGUGUAGCGGUGGAAUGCGCAGAUAUCAGGAGGAACACCGGUGGCGAAGGCGGCUACCUGGACAGAAACUGACGCUGAGGCGCGAAAGCUAGGGGAGCGAACGGG